rnacentral:tRNA from 1 species
GUUGAGGUGGCAGAGUAGCUAUGCAAAAGACCUAAGCUCUUUUAACAGGGGUUCAACUCCCCUCCUCUACC